CACGUAGGGUGCAAGCGUUGUCCGGAAUCAUUGGGCGUAAAGAGCUCGUAGGCGGCUUAGUAAGUCGGGUGUGAAAACUCUAGGCUCAACCUAGAGACGCCACCCGAUACUGCUAUAGCUAGAAUCCAGUAGGGGAGUGUGGAAUUCCCAGUGUAGCGGUGAAAUGCGCAGAUAUUGUGAGGAACACUAGUGGCGAAGGCGAAUCUCUGGACAGUUCCUGACGCUGAGGCACGAAGGCCAGGGGAGCAAACGGG
rnacentral:rRNA from 1 species